GUGGGGAAUAUUGCACAAUGGGCGAAAGCCUGAUGCAGCAACGCCGCGUGAGGGACGACGGCCUUCGGGUUGUAAACCUCUUUUAGUAGGGAAGAAGCGAAAGUGACGGUACCUGCAGAAAAAGCACCGGCUAACUACGUGCCAGCAGCCGCGGUAAUACGUAGGGUGCAAGCGUUAUCCGGAAUUAUUGGGCGUCAAGAGCUCGUAGGCGGUCUGUCGCGUCUGCUGUGAAAACUGGAGGCUCAACCUCCAGCCUGCAGUGGGUACGGGCAGACUAGAGUGCGGUAUGGGAGAUUGGAAUUCCUGGUGUAGCGGUGGAAUGCGCAGAUAUCAGGAGGAACACCGAUGGCGAAGGCAGAUCUCUGGGCCGUAACUGACGCUGAGGAGCGAAAGCGUGGGGAGCGAACAGGAUUAGAAACCCCGGUAGUCC
rnacentral:rRNA from 1 species